UACGGGGGGGAGCAAGCGUUGUUCGGAUUUACUGGGCGUAAAGGGCGCGUAGGCGGCCAGCACAAGUCAGUUGUGAAAUCUCCGGGCUUAACUCGGAAAGGUCAACUGAUACUGUGCGGCUAGAGUGCAGAAGGGGCAACUGGAAUUCUCGGUGUAGCGGUGAAAUGCGUAGAUAUCGAGAGGAACACCUGCGGCGAAGGCGGGUUGCUGGGCUGACACGUGACGCUGAAGCGCGAAAGCUAGGGGAGCGAACGGG
rnacentral:rRNA from 1 species